CCGGAGAAUGUUAUCACGGGAGACACACGGCGGGUGCUAACGUCCGUCGUGAAGAGGGAAACAACCCAGACCGCCAGCUAAGGUCCCAAAGUCAUGGUUAAGUGGGAAACGAUGUGGGAAGGCCCAGACAGCCAGGAUGUUGGCUUAGAAGCAGCCAUCAUUUAAAGAAAGCGUAAUAGCUCACUGGUCGAGUCGGCCUGCGCGGAAGAUGUAACGGGGCUAAACCAUGCACCGAAGCUGCGGCAGCGACGCUUAUGCGUUGUUGGGUAGGGGAGCGUUCUGUAAGCCUGCGAAGGUGUGCUGUGAGGCAUGCUGGAGGUAUCAGAAGUGCGAAUGCUGACAUAAGUAACGAUAAAGCGGGUGAAAAGCCCGCUCGCCGGAAGACCAAGGGUUCCUGUCCAACGUUAAUCGGGGCAGGGUGAGUCGACCCCUAAGGCGAGGCCGAAAGGCGUAGUCGAUGGGAAACAGGUUAAUAUUCCUGUACUUGGUGUUACUGCGAAGGGGGGACGGAGAAGGCUAUGUUGGCCGGGCGACGGUUGUCCCGGUUUAAGCGUGUAGGCUGGUUUUCCAGGCAAAUCCGGAAAAUCAAGGCUGAGGCGUGAUGACGAGGCACUACGGUGCUGAAGCAACAAAUGCCCUGCUUCCAGGAAAAGCCUCUAAGCAUCAGGUAACAUCAAAUCGUACCCCAAACCGACACAGGUGGUCAGGUAGAGAAUACCAAGGCGCUUGAGAGAACUCGGGUGAAGGAACUAGGCAAAAUGGUGCCGUAACUUCGGGAGAAGGCACGCUGAUAUGUAGGUGAAGUCCCUUGCGGAUGGAGCUGAAAUCAGUCGAAGAUACCAGCUGGCUGCAACUGUUUAUUAAAAACACAGCACUGUGCAAACACGAAAGUGGACGUAUACGGUGUGACGCCUGCCCGGUGCCGGAAGGUUAAUUGAUGGGGUCAGCGCAAGCGAAGCUCUUGAUCGAAGCCCCGGUAAACGGCGGCCGUAACUAUAACGGUCCUAAGGUAGCGAAAUUCCUUGUCGGGUAAGUUCCGACCUGCACGAAUGGCGUAAUGAUGGCCAGGCUGUCUCCACCCGAGACUCAGUGAAAUUGAACUCGCUGUGAAGAUGCAGUGUACCCGCGGCAAGACGGAAAGACCCCGUGAACCUUUACUAUAGCUUGACACUGAACAUUGAGCCUUGAUGUGUAGGAUAGGUGGGAGGCUUUGAAGUGUGGACGCCAGUCUGCAUGGAGCCGGCCUUGAAAUACCACCCUUUAAUGUUUGAUGUUCUAACGUGGACCCGUGAUCCGGGUUGCGGACAGUGUCUGGUGGGUAGUUUGACUGGGGCGGUCUCCUCCUAAAGAGUAACGGAGGAGCACGAAGGUUGGCUAAUCCUGGUCGGACAUCAGGAGGUUAGUGCAAUGGCAUAAGCCAGCUUGACUGCGAGCGUGACGGCGCGAGCAGGUGCGAAAGCAGGUCAUAGUGAUCCGGUGGUUCUGAAUGGAAGGGCCAUCGCUCAACGGAUAAAAGGUACUCCGGGGAUAACAGGCUGAUACCGCCCAAGAGUUCAUAUCGACGGCGGUGUUUGGCACCUCGAUGUCGGCUCAUCACAUCCUGGGGCUGAAGUAGGUCCCAAGGGUAUGGCUGUUCGCCAUUUAAAGUGGUACGCGAGCUGGGUUUAGAACGUCGUGAGAC
rnacentral:rRNA from 1 species